CUCCUCCCACAGCCAAGCUCCGCUUCGAGUAGGAUUCCCAUUGGCGAAAUAACGUAGCAUCGUUCAAGGCUUUGCCUCGGACUACUGCUUCGAAAUAUUGGUUCAGUAUCGGCGGGACAUUUAGACUAUAAAGAUGUCCCGUAUACGAAUACAAACUCAUUGCAUUUGCGGUUGUAUCAAGCAACAUAUCAAGUUCAUAAGUCAUCAUGGAGUUUGCUAAAAAAAUAAGUUUUCCCCUGUUUCGGAGCACUUUGAUCUAAUUUCUCCCAAUAUGGUUUGCCUAUUCAUACUGCUAUUCAUUUUGAAGCAUGGUUUGGCAAGUAGUAGCAUAAUGUUCUUUAAUGUUGUCUUUUGCAUUGGUUGUUUUCAUUGUUAUAGGUGAAAUGCCUUAUCUGCAACAAGCUUCUUGGUUAUAAUAACAAUAACAAUACAUCUUCCAUGUUGAGGCAUUACCGUGCCCUUCAUGAGAAAGCGGAGACACCCACAGCACCUGCUGGGACUUGCACAGGUGCGGUGCGUUUUUUUUAUGGAUGAUGCAUUAUAAGAGGGCUAUAGCAUUAGGUUACUGCUUGUUCACUUGUUUUGUCUCUUUUGCCCAGCUUCCAGGAACGGGGUACUGGACGAGGCCUUGGUGGACAUGGUGGUGAAGGAUUGCCAGCCUUUUACUGUGGUCAAAGACCAGGGAUUCAGAGGGCUGGUAAAAUUACUUGACACUUCAUAUGUGCUGCCCACCGGACAGGCCAUGGUGGAGGACCGCUAUACCACCAAGGCAAAAGGGAGGCCAAGGCCCUUGUUCGGCAGGCUACUGCAUUCAGUCUUACAUCUGAUAUGUGGACAUCCAUGAAAAUGGAGGCCUAUCUUGCUGUCACCUGCCACUUUUUUGCAGAUGGUGUGCUGAAGACCACACUGCUUGGGGUUCAGCAUUUCCCCCCUACAGCCCAUAACUUGGCUGAAGCUAAGGGAACCAUUAUGGAGAAGUGGGGCACCAGGGACAAGGUGACUUGUCCUGUUACUGAUACAACUUCGAACAUGCUUGCAUGUGGCAGGGAGCUGCAUUUAAAACAAGCUGUCUGCAUUGCUCAUGCCAUCAACCUGAUGGUAAAGAAAUUCUUGGAUGACACCCCUGGACUUGAGCAUCUGCAUACAAGUGCCAGAAAAAUUGAAAGUCUAGCCCAGGAUCAGCAACGCAUGGGAAGACCAUUGCGUAAGCUGCUGAAGGAGGUUGAGACAAGGUGGAACAGCACCUACAUAAUGUUGGAGAGGCUGCAUUCAGAGAGAGAAGCUGUAAGUGCAGCUAAGGCUUCUCACCCUUCUGAAGUCGACAUGUUGACGCCAAUGGAGUUUACCAUAAUUAAGGAGUGACUUGGUGUGCUUGGCCAAUUUAAUGAGGCUACAAUUGAAUUGUCAGAGGAAAAGAGGGUGUCAGCCUCUAAGAUUCAUCAAUUAUUGAAAAUGGUCUCAAUAACCCUCGGUGAACUGCUUGGGUCCAUCCACACUGACAUGGCCAAACGUCUCAACAAAUCAACACAACUGAAGUUAAUGGAAUCCCUUAAACACUGGCAAAAGACCAGUAUCCUGACCCUCCCUACUCUCCUGGACCCAAAUUUUAAAACUCUCGGCUUCCUCACUCCAUCCAAGGCUGAUGAAGCUGUGAAAAGGCUCACCACUGAGUGUGGUCAAGUGAUAAGUGAUAUACAGGUACAAUCAUCUCCACUUGCAUCAGCAGCGAUCCAUGAAGAUGAAGUCCCUUCCACCUCCUGUUGUGUUUAUUUUGUUAUGAUAUUUAAUCAAGUUUCUGUCUAUUGGGCCCCCCUAAGCCUGUCCACCUUACACCCCCAAUCCGUCUGCCCUGAUUAUUAGUACUGUAGCUGAUAAGACAUUCUCUUUUGCCAAAUGAUUUAAUUUCUAGCAGGAGCUCUGGAGAUAUUUAUGAAUGGCACACCCACACACAUGUAUCACGGAAAUGACUUCAAUUCUCAAAUGGCUUAUGUUGUAUCGGCACAUGAAUCAAAAAUCACAUUUUGGGUAUGGAAUGACUGGAAACGCGUUCAUCAUAAUUUCUUCCACCACUAGGUGUCCCUAGAGUGCUCCGCUGCGCGUCGGGGCCGGACAACGCCCCUUAACAGUUGUAUAAUGAGCACAUGCCACAGCCUGGCGUGAUCUAUUGCUUAACUCAGUCACCUAAUUCCGUCUAGGUUCCAUACAAUCACUGAAUCGAAUUCAAUGCUAACCACUCAGCUCUCUGUAUAUAUUAGGUGCUGGCUGCCUCAGUCAUCUGCUCUUACUUCUUCGCCUGCUCUUUGUGCAGUAGGCAGAUCAGUGACACCGUCACCUCCUGCCUGGCCUUCAUCCUGUCAUCCUGUACACCACGAGGUGGGCCUUACCCGCACCAAGCCCGGCCAGAACAGUGGCUUCCUGUCCACCGUGCCAGACCUCUUUAAGGUUUUUCGUGGCAAGCAUCAACCUCAUAUCCCUUGUGACGAUCCAGUCGGGUCUUUGACCCCGGCCCUGCUGUGUGUAUGCCCUUGUUUCUCUCCCUCCUAAUUAGGAGAUUGUUGGCAGGUGUGGGAUUGAUUGACCAGUACUGC